UCUGGGCCCGCCGGGGGAAUGCGGUUCUGGGCCCGCCGGGGGAAUGUGGUUCUGGGCCCCGCUCAACCGGGGGGCCGCGCACCGGCCGGAUUCCUUUGGGGACCAGCAAGAGCCAUGGAGCUCUGUGUCCAAGCGGCACGUUAAACAGUGGCACCACACUGCGGGUCACCAGCGAGCGCAGGAGAAACGCGACUCCAGUGUGUGACCUCACGUGCUCACACCUUGCCUCGGGCACGGCAAGUCAGAGAGAAGCUGUUGUGCACACCACAGAAAAACUGUGCUCACGCAGGGCUGUAGAACAGCGUGUCUGAUCUAGAGCAGCACCGACAACGUGGGGGUUGUAGAACAAGGAGCUCUGGAGCAGCACUGACAGUAUCCCCAGUGUCAUCUGUGAACUUACUGAGGGUGCCCUCCAUUGUCCAGAUCAUCAAUAAAGGUAUGAAGCAGGACUGGGCCCAGUCCUGAGCCCUGGGGAACACCACUAGUGGCUGGUCCCGGCUGGAUGUGGCACCAUUCCACCACUGUCUGGGCCUGGCCAUCCAGACAGUUUUUAACCCAGCCAAGAGUGCACCUGUUCAGCUGCAGCUUCUGCAGGAGAAUCCCAUGGCACACAGUAUGGAAGGCUUUACUGAAGUCCAGGAAGACACAUCCACAGCCUUUCCCUUGCUCACUGCCAUAAAGAGAGAUCAGUGCCACAGUUCAAACUCAUCCAAUACAGAGGAGAUCAAAGCCUUUGCUUGCUGGGAGAAGGCUGGAAAGAGGAAGUCAUUCUCUUAGACCCAAAUCUCUCUGUCUCAAUAGGCCACACCACAGCUGUACAGACAGCAUUUCUCUUCUUCACUCACAGCUUAAACUCAGUGCUGCAUUUCUGAUUUCUAAAGAGUAAACUUCAAAUAAAAUCUUCAGUUGUGAAAGACUGAAGGUAAUGCAUUAGAAUUGACUCAUUCAGCAGGUCACUGAACUACAGGCAGUUACGAAAAGGAAAUGAAUCUCCAAGCAAAACCAAAAUAGAGAACCAAACAGAGGAAUGUGUCCAAAACACAUCCUGUUUUCAGAUCAUCCUGUGUGCCCCUGCUUCCAGAAACCAAUUUUUAAUGUGACUCUAAAGUCCUCCUCAGGCACCAGAAACUCCUUGCAGAAAAGACAUUUAAGAAGGGAAGGCCAGGAGGAAGAGGUGAAGAAGGGUGGCACGUCAGAAGUUCUGUUUUAUUGUUGGUGGUGCUUUAUGCAUUGUGAAGGUAUUUUCUUAAACAAGAAAACCUCAUUCUCCUUCAGAUACCGACUCAGCAGCCUUAAUAGAUUGUCCCCUUUCCAUUGUGCUUGCAGAUAAAUAAGAUACAUUUGAAAAGGACUGAAAGGUAGUAGGGACAGCUAAGACUCAAGAACUGACUGUGCUGGUUUAUGUUCUGGCUUCACAGGACAGCAUGCAGAGGAAAGUAUGAGUCAGAGCCUUUCCUAUUAAAUUCCCCAUGAUACAACAAGAAAUACUUCCAAAAUACCUCUAUCUGUGUGUCAUCACCACCCCAGCACAUAAGGCAAAAAUGCUCACGCAGCAUUACCGUGUUACAAGGCAGUGGCUGUGACGGGGAGAGAGGAAAAGCAAUAUAAUGGCUUGGGGUACUACAGCACAUGGGGCUGUUCUGACAGAACAACGCAGGGCUUUGGGUGCAGAGUGUUGUGAAAGCUGUGUAGUGUCAGCGUCGGGCACAGGCCCUCCCAGCUUGGAGAUGUUGCUGUCAGAAAGAUAUGCCUCUCCAGAACUUCCAUCCUCACUUGUGCUCAUAGCAACUUCUCAAGUAACUUUUGCUAAAUGCAUCGGUUCUCUCUUCAGAAAGGCCUUGGCUCGACACGCCCCCGCCGGACGUUUGGGAAGGCUUUUCAUACCAAGCGAUUUUCAUAAGGUCUAUCGUGCCACCAGGAGGACUUCUACUGAACUACACUUUUAAAUGUUCCAGGCCUGGUUAAAUACUACGGUUUGACAGAUUAUACUUGUGAUUAUUUUUACUGACUUAUGAAAAAAACCCAUUUUUUAAAAUUUCCGCUAUCUGCAGUAUUUUUAUUUCUCAUAGGUUCUCUAAAUCGAUUUAAAUACAGAGGCGACAACUAACAGAAAUUCUGCCUUUUUCUUUUUGUCUGAGGUGGGAAACUGCAAAAGAAUAUGCACAUAGGUAAAACUUCGUGGAACGUGUCAUUUAGUAUGAAACGACGUGUCCAGUUCUGGGCUCCUCAGUACAAGGGAGACAUGGAGCUACUGGAGAGGGUCCAGCAGAGGCCACAAAGAUGAUGAGGGAUCUGGAGCAUCUCUGAUGAGGAGAGACUGCGGGAGCUGGGCCUGGUUAGCGAGAGAACAGUGAGGGGGGAUCUCAUUAAUGCAUAUAAAUAUUUCCAAGAGUUGUCAAGAGGAUGGUGCCAAACUCUUUUCUGUGGCACCUAGAGACAGGAUGAAGAGCAAUGACCAUAAACUAAAACACAAGAAGUUUCACAUCAACAUAAGGAAGAACUUCUUUACACUGAGGGUGGCAGAGCCCUGAACAGCUGCCCGGGCAGGGUGGAGUCUCCUCUCUGGGGACAUUCAAACCCGCCUGGACAUGUCCCUGUGUACCCGCUCCAGGUGCCCCUGCCCGGGCAGGGGGUGGGACUGGGGGAUCUCCAGAGGUCCCCUCCGACGCCAACAAUCCUGUAAUUCUGUGACCCGCAGGCGAUAAUUUCGUCAGCACCUAACGCAGAAAGGGAGGGAGUCCCCCCGUUCCCGGUGUCCCCCGUUCCCGGUGUCCCUCGUUCCCGGUGUCCCCCGUUCCCGGUGUCCCUCGUUCCCGGUGUCCCCCGUUCCCGGUGUCCCCCCGUUCCCGGUGUCCCCCCGUUCCCGGUGUCCCUCGUUCCCGGUGUCCCCCGUUCCCGGUGUCUCCCGUUCCCGAUGUCCCCCGUUCCCGGUGUCCCCCCGUUCCCGGUGUCUCCCGUUCCCGGUGUUCCCCGUUCCCGGUGUCCCCCGUUCCCGGAGUCCCCCCGUUCCCGGUGUUCCCCGUUCCUGGUGUCCCGCGUUCCCGGUGUCCCGCGUUCCCGG